UCAACUUCGCAAAACAGGUGGAAGCAUGGCAGAGAUUUAUAAAGAAUGGCACUGGUUACCCUGGAAACAGGUUUGAAUGCUUUCUUCAAACAAGAUGCUCACUGUUGACCUCUUUCUAACUGCUUUGUAUGGAUGUAAGGUGCAACUUUUUUGCAAAGUUUAUUUUAAAAGGUUUGUGUACCACUUAAAGGCAUUACUUUGUUUCCUCCUCACUUACAAGCUUAUAAAGUGAGACAAAUACUUGAGAACAAUAAUGCAGAAAUACCAAUCAUCUGCAAAUAUUUGAUUAAAAAAACCUUAACAAGAAUUUGUAUUGAAUGCAUUUAAAGUACUUGUGAACACAAAAAUAUUUUGGCCUACAUGCUAUUUUCUUCACAAUAACUACUUUAAAAACAUCAAUAAGCUGCUGUUUAUGGAAAUAAGCCACCCCACGUCCUGUUACAGAAUGUACAAACCUGAGAUAAAUUUCCACUAGAUAUAUAACAUUAUUUUCUCUUCCUCACGGCCAAAGGUUUGCUUGUUUUUGUAAGAACUGACACUUUACAUAACAUUUUUGGACGAAGCCUAUUACAAUUGCCACUCAGUUCUGAUAAGGCCUUUAAUGCAGUGUAUUAGCAACAGAGAGAAAACUGUGUCUAAAUCAAUCUACCUUUCUCAUCAUGUACUAUUAAACUUCAGGGUACAGGAAAAUGAAAACAGAAAGAAUCAUUAUUGCAGGGAUAAUGCAUGAAGCAGGUAUAGAGCAACAUGCAUUGCUAAUUUAGGGAUAAUCCUAGGCAAUCUGGAUGUCUAAGUGGUACAGUACAUUCUAGCAUCAUAUCCCAGAAGCAAUCAGUGUUGCCUGGUUCAGUUGUCUAGCAUUGUCUGAUCUAACAGAUUCUGGGGACAUUUGGUCUCUGUUCUUUGACAUCAGAGAAAGACAACAUUGGGGAAUGGGCAAAAAGAAAGGAAAGCCAAAAAAACCAUAAUCUGAAACUCAACUGAAUCUAGUGAAAGAAGAAAAUAAUUGAGGAUUGUAAAAAACUGUACUGUGCAAAUAAAAUUGGGUUAUAUUUGUAAUGUACCAGUAGUUCACAUCAUCAUGCUUAAUUGGUAGUACGAUUUUUAGACUCACUUUUAAGGUCACAAUAUAAAGCCUUCUUUCUGAAGCCUACCAUUUUUUAUUAAUUUCUGGAGAGAGCAGAUGGAUUUGCUUGCACUAGGGAAUCUUUCUUAUGAGAAAAUAUAUUAAAAGUUUCUAUGUUCGCAGCACUCCAAGUGAAACGAUUUCACUUAUCUUAAAAUUUCUCAUAAAUAUUCAGCAUUUUCUUUGAAAUAUUAUCUCUUGAGAUUUCGAUGUUACAUUUGUUUUUUAAAAAUAGAAAAGGAAGAUUGUCUCUCAUGGUCCUGGAUCAAGGCCUGUAAACAUUCCAAACAUCAAAAGAGGUUUAAUUAAAUGAACUCAAGUUUCAUAUUUCUUAGAAUCCUAGACCAAGUUCACAUACCAUUCCUUAAACUACAUAAUGCUCUUCAAAGGUUAUUUUCUAUUUUCCUGUUUUACAUUAUGUCAGGUAGCAAUGCCUGACAUAUUUCAUAGACUCCUGUCUUUAUGGAGCCUUUUAAAACUGACAGCUUUAGCAAGACGGACCAUCUUCAGCAGUGUAAAUACUUCUGAGCAUCAACUUACUAAAGAUUAUGUUGACUGUGACAAGAGACUUAACUUUGCAUUCAAUACUUAUUUGUGAAAUGAACCUGACUUGUGAGACUGCUUAGGUUUUAGAUUCUGGUUGGAAAACAACUUAGCUUUUCAGGGACUAGUGGUAAAAAUUUGGAAUGAGAUUCCCUUCCCUCUCAGUAGGUAAAUCUCCAGCACUACCACUAUUCUGGAGUUAACAGACACUGAAUGCACUUCAGAGAAAAUGAUUAACCACAGUCUUAUUUGUGGCAUUUAAAGUAAUGUGGCAAAUAUCUUUGCAUAUCCUCCCUAUGAUGACAGGCAGUGUAAGUCAGACAUGCCUAAAAUAAGCCUGAAAUAUUUAUUGGCAUGGCAGGUUGCUUAACAACUUUCAUUAUAAAUGCCUUUUUCCAUUCUGAAUUCAUAACAACAAAGAAGACUCACACAGACACCAUGGUACAUGUUCCAUUCAUUCAUUCUCCUAACACAAAAUUACAUAUGGAAUGCAUCUUAUUAAGAAUCACAUCAAAUUUUCCAAAGAGUAUGCAAAUGUCCUGUGGAAUAUGCCUCAACAUGACAGAACACACCACUGCGAAGCAGUGACAUAGUAAGCUACAUAGACUCAAUGACUCUCAAGUAGAAAGGGGAUGUAAAGCCAGCUGCUACAUGUUGCAUGGGCUCUACACACUACCCACUAUAUAUAAGAAAAAGGACCCCCACCACCGAAAUCGUGAGUUUAGGAAGAUUGCCUAAUUCCUUCUCUUUAUUUCCAUUAUGAAAGUGCAGUUAGUAACAAAACAAUCUGAAUUCUUUAGCAAGCCACACAGACUCUUUCACUAAAAAGUCAAUUCAGCUCUUCUCUGACCAGUUUCAAGAAAAAACAAGGUAUUUUUUUUACACCGACUUUUCUCCCCAACUCUUACUUGGGUAAAAUUAUUCUUUAAACAAAGAGAUGACUCUUGGAUUGAUUGAAAUAUUUUUUUUUUAGUUUGGCCACAGAAAUAGGACAUCCCCAUCCCAGUGAUGUUGCCGACUGCAGGUCAGAUAGGAUAUGAUGCCUAGUUACAGACAGGAACCUAUUGCUUGUCUUUAAAUGCUGGACACGGCAGAUCAGAUAAUGCUGAAAAUGAUUAUUAGAGCAUUUAUUUCUAGGUCCUUCUUCACUGUAUGCUGUGUUCAGACUAGAUAAUUAUAGGUAUUCUUACAAUAAAGUGUACAAUCCAUCACAAAAAUCAUUCAUAUUGACCAACUGUCAACAAUCAGGCUAUUCUCUCCUUGCAGUUCAUAAUGCUCCUAGAAUUUCAUUGUCUGCUUUUCCUGUUAUAUCUUAUAAUGGCAUACGAGUAUCAGUAAUAUAAUUUACAGACAUCAUUCUCAUAUCUUUCCAUUAUUCAAAUUAACUUUGUCUAGUUGAAGAUUAACACCUUCCUUCUUAGGACACAGACAACAAUUUUACUUGUUAUAAAUGUUUUGUAAGUUAGCACACUCAUGCCUGUGACUGCAUUCUUCCAUAGCAGUUUUUUUCUUUUUAGUCGCAGCUCAGUAAAGAUCAACAACAAUAAAAGGUUGAAAUGUAUGCAGAAAAACAUAUAUUGGACAGGCUGUUCAUUCAUUGUCACUGCAGUAUCUCCCAAAAAUUCAAAGCUCAAAGAAAUAAUCUAUAACUCCAGAUGUCCUGACUGAAAUACCAAGAAAAAAAAAUAAGAAAAAUAGAACAAAAUAGUUAGCUAACUGAUUUACAAAAAAAGAUUCCACUUCAUUUUCUUUCUUUUGCUUUUUUCCCCCAUGUCAAAAAACUAAGCAAAACUGAAAGACAUUCCCAGCUUCAUUGGUAUGGUUCAAAAGUAAACCACAUACUCCACAAAAAAAGAUCUCAACAUGUAAAAAAAGAAGUGCUAUGUUUCCUUGAGUUACAAUUAAUCAUAUUAAAGAUCUCUAAUAAAAAUGAAGAUAUUUAAAUACUGGAAUAGUUGCUUCACGAUGCCAUUCGUUUCCUGAUGCUUCUACUAUCAGGAGAAGAUCCUUUUUUUCAAGGUCUAAAUGAAGAUCUUGUUUUCAGUUCUCAAGAUAACUUCUGCUGUCAGAAAAGUCAACUUCAGCAGCUGAGUAUAUAAAAGCAGACUGAAAUGGAAGAUAAUUGUAUCAUAGACUUUUGAUCAAUAUGUGUCCAAGAGUGAAUUCUCCUUUGUGAAAACAGAACCUCUCCAAGAAUUGUUGAAAUUUAUUUUUCAAACAUCCUUUAGCUUUAUGUAGCAUACUGAGACUACAGCAGCCUUUCUCUUCCCAGUGAAAGCCUUUGCUCCCUUCCAGUUUCAUCACCUUCCUUGAAACCUUCUACCACAUAAAUGAAAUUUUUGAAAGAGCAGUCUCAAGGUGCUCAAGAAGACCACAGUGAAAAUGAAGAUGUCAAUAGGCAUGGAAUAGGGUAUGGAAGAUAGCUCAGCCACAGAGUAGUGAGAAAUGAUUUUAAAGAGCUUCACUAGAAACAAAGGAGAUAAAUCAGUAUGAAGGGAUGUAUGAGUCAGGAUCAAUAGCAAUAAUAACAGAUAAAGACAAGCUUCCAGCAGCAGUUUCCAGGUAGUUUUGGUCUGUCAGCCCUCCUGCACUGUUCCAAUCGCAGUCUAAGAACUGGUGCUCAGGCUGCAGAUACUCACUCACCGCCUCCAAUGUGGGAAUUUUCUGGCUUCUUCAGGUCCUUCUGAUAUCCCCUACAGCCCUGCAAAUCCCUCCGUGAGGACUUUGCCUCUCAGCCUGACCUGAUGCCCUGCACCUACUGUAGAUUCUAGCCUAGGGAAAGCACCAAAGGACAUCUGCUCACCUUCCAGUCUUUUCCUCCCAGAAGCAUAUCUACUUUCCAACGUAGCUAUCACUCUUGAGAAAUACCUUCGCUUCUCCUUGGCUGAAUUUAACUUGGAGGACACAUUGUUUAAUUUGUUCCCUCUUUUGAAAGCUUCCUUUCUGUCUAUUCAGGAUUUUGCCAUCCUGUCCAGAAAGGAGAUGGGAUCUCACAUCAUUUGCUAUGUACAUAUGCCCUCCCUGCUUGCUGUGUGGGACAGUUCUUUCAGUGCAAGUUGUUUAUUGGUAACUUUUCACUGGGGCUUAAUGAAGUGUAUUCUGGUUCUCAGCCAGCAACCAAAAGUGAAAGGUCUGAUACUAAAUAUUGCAUCAAAGGAAGGUUUGCAUCACCAUCCUUUCAGACUGGCUUAUAUUUUGUUCUCUUCUUUUCUCCCAGAGGCCAUAAUGCUCAAUUGUAUUAUCUCAUUGUUUUUAAUAAAGGAGCUGUAAUAUGCAAUCUCCUCUCAAUGACUGGCAAUAGAAACUGCUAGGGAGUCCCAUUCUUUCUUCAGACUAGAUCUGGAAUCAAAUUUAUUUGUUUCUUUUUUCUUUUUUUUCCUUUUUUUUUCCCCUUCCUUUAGUUCGGUUUGCCUCUGCUAAUAUCUAUCAGUCAGAGUGCAAAUUUCAGUUCAAUUAAUAUGGGUUUCCUAAAGAGUUUUGCCUUCCAGGUACAAGAGCAAAAAAAAAAACCUCACAAGGCAGAUACUGGUUGUACUAUUUAGAGUACAUCUGAAAGGCAUAGUUUAAAAUUUAGGUAUGGAAAAACUGGUGAUAUCAUGCAGAUUUGUCUCUGUCAAGAGAGUAGGCCUGAAAAAAGAAAAAAAAUGGCUUUCCAAGGCAGAUAUUCCAUAUAAAUUGUCUUUUAAUUGAUGGAACACCUUUUUGCUUGCUGUGAACAAAGCACUUUAAGUAGAGACUUAUAGUGCAUGUGACAGGAAAUAAUUCAAGAUAAAAUACACUGAUUUAUUCUUCCACUUGUAGUAUCCUGCUCUUAUGUGAACUCAUGGCAGAGGAUGGCUGCUGCAAGUAAAGGGGAGUGGAGGCUACGAAAGGCUUCCCUGCUGCGAACACCAGGCAGUUACUGCUCUUUUCUUGAUUUUAUGUGUGAACUAAGUCUUAGUUCCAACGGCAGCAAAAAAAUAGGAAAGGAUGGAGGGAGGUUCCUGUUCUUCCAAGUAGCUAGACCUGUCCUGACAUACCUUUGUACAUUUUCCUUGGUGCUCCCAGGAGUUCUGCGCAGGCCUUCUGAUUGCCUCUCCAGAACUCCAUGGGAACCAUAGUUCAUAGUCUCCUGCUAAGGCAGUAAUGUGCAAAUGAAAUACCUUUCACAUGGUGACCAAGCUGCUGACCCCUUCUGCCCAGAGCUUACAAGGAACACCCCUGAAGUGCUUAGGCAAUGUUUGCUGGGCUUUGCCCCUCUAUCCUAGGGAGAACUACAAUUAUUUUGCAGGAAUAACUGGUGUUUAAAGUCUACACUGCAUAAGCUAAGCACUGCACAGUGAUAUCUUAGUUCAGCAGGAGAAAAUUAGCAAAGAAUUGGAAAUGGUGAUAUUCAAGUCCUGAUGGAGUGUCUCAGUCAGCUUGAAACUUUGUGCAUCACUGCACUAUAAAGCAAAGGCAUCCACAACAUAUUCAGCCACUCAGAUGGUCCUCUCUUCUUCAUCAGCCAGCACAGAGGAGGAUUUCUGUGCUUGUACGCUGACUGCAGCCUCUGCUUUCUCUCUGCUUUCUCUCUGCUGGUUCCCCUGGGGACUUCUCUAAGCAGGUUGUGACCUCCUGGGCUCACUGUUUUCACUGCUAGUUCUACAUGGGUACUAUACAAUGCCUGGAGAAAUUACAUUCUGUAGAAGUAUAUUUUCCUGUAAAGCUUACUAAAACACAAAGCCUACUAAAGACACAGAACCUUUCUCCAGUAUAAGAUAGGCUUUUCUGUCUUGCUUAUCCUCCAGAAAGAGAAAUACUAAUGUCUCUCACACUGUGAGAAAGAAGAGUGAGCAUUGGGUAGAAGUAGAAUUCAUAUUACAACAAUGUUUUCUUUCUUUUUCCUUAUUUUGCUAUAAAUUUGCCUUCAUAAACCUAGAAACAUGCAUAUGAAAAAAAAAAAACAAACAGAUUUUCUAAUGGAAACUCUGCUUUGAGACUCUGGCUUUGAAUUUAUUUUAUUUUACAAUCAUCAAACAGAGCUAGGUUGUGAAGCUUUUAUAGGUCUACUAGAUUUGCAACAGACAUCCAGCCUAUCCAGAAUAUAUCUGUGUUCUAAGCUUCCAUAGAAGUUGAAAUAUACAGUUCUUCAAGUAUCCUGUAAUUUGCUCUGGCUGCCAGCUGGAAUCUAUCACCAUAAUAGCUUUAUGGCCUGUUUUAAGUCACCAUUCAUGUCUUCCUUGAAGCUGAAAUUUCCAAAAGUUAUAUUUCAUAUUGUUCAUGUUCUUUAUAUUCUUUGUGUGAACUUGGCAGCGGCUCAAACAAAGAACAAGACUGAUGAAACUACACUUUUUUUUUUUUCUUUUAAUUGAAAACAUUUAUUAUUAAGCAUUCAUUAUGAAUGCCUUUGUUUAAUUUGCAGUCUUGCAAUAUUCUGACGAUGGAUACUCUAAAGAUUGUUUUCUUUGCAGACCAGACCUAAAUAGCAUGAAGUUACAAUUAAAAAAAAAAAACAAAAAACCAAAAAAAACAAAAAAAAAAACUGCUAUUGGAUUAUAACUGCUAUUCCUUUGCAGUUUGAAUCUUGACAUAACAACACUGAUGGCAAUUCACUUUCUUUAUUCGUGGGCUGAAUUCUAGUGAAACUUCUUAUACUUGCUCAUAUAUAGCCCAUGUCACACAUAGCUAUCAUUCUUUUGAAACUGUGAAUAACUGACAUUUUAAACAAGUUGUACUGAAAUUAGGCAAAGAUGAAAGUGGAAUCAAAAACAGUAGCAGAGGUGAAGGAGCUAAUAAGGGAGAUAGCACUCUGAUAAACUUCCCUCGCAAUACCCACAAAGGCAUAUAUGGCAUAUAUGCUACUGGCAUAUACCUUGUUGUUUCUGUUGGCCUUUUAAACAGCCUUCAGAUUGCAUGGAUGAAACCAGCAUUUGGUGCUAUUGCCAUUAUCCCAAUCCAUAGCAGCUAACUGCAAAUCUGAAAUCUGUAACAGGAGAGGCUUCUUCAGUGUAUCACAAGGUUUGAGCUUGGUGCAGUGCCCCAAUAUUUCUCCAGUGCUACAAAUAACCAAUUUAGACUACUUGGGUACAGAGAAAAGUAAAUGUUCUGCAACUUGAGCUGAGAGUGGGAACAGUUUUAGGAUAUUACUGAGUCAGUGAUACGACUCAUACGUUGUUGGCUGACAGCAAAGCUUUCAUUUGGGAGUGCUGAGCAGCAGUGUAACAUUGUCAACCUGCUAGACUUGAGGAAGAUAAAAAGAAUGUAUUAGUUACUGUUCAGCCAAUAAAAGCUAACACUGCCACAAAAUUAUAUGACAUUUACUACUAGCAAUAUAAAAUAUUGUAUGUUGAUGAUAACAUACCAGUUUUUGUUUAAUUUGCUGCUGGCUGUGACUCUCUGUAAAUUAAAGAAUAUUCUGAUCACUGGAAUCAGCAUUUCAUACGCUCCCUUCAGCAUAUAGUUGUA